UUGAAGAGUUUGAUCAUGGCUCAGAUUGAACGCUGGCGGCAGGCCUAACACAUGCAAGUCGAGCGGUAACAGAAAGUAGCUUGCUACUUUGCUGACGAGCGGCGGACGGGUGAGUAAUGCAUAGGAAACUGCCCAGUAGUGGGGGAUAGCCCGGGGAAACCCGGAUUAAUACCGCAUACGUCCUUCGGGAGA
rnacentral:rRNA from 1 species